CUUGGUCAUUUAGAGGAAGUAAAAGUCGUAACAAGGUUUCCGUAGGUGAACCUGCGGAAGGAUCAUUACAGUAUGUUUAGAGGGAGCUGUUGCUGGCUCUAUAAGCAUGUGCACGCUCCCUCGCCUUCAUCCAUUACACACCUGUGCACCUCGAGCGAGUCUCCCAUUAGGAGCCGUCCCACGGGACUGAGGUCUCGCUCGCUUUAUUAUAAUAAUACAGCCUGUCUUUAAUGCAUGUGAAUACGUUCUACGGAACUGAUAUCAAAUACAACUUUCAACAACGGAUCUCUUGGCUUUCGCAUCGAUGAAGAACGCCGCGAAAGUGCGAAACGUAAUGUGAAUUGCAGAAUUCAGUGAAUCAUCGAAUCUUUGAACGCAUCUUGCGCUCCUUGGUAUUCCGAGGAGCAUGCCUGUUUGAGUGUCGUGAAACUCUCUCAAUCUCUCAUUUCUGGUAGAUUGGAUUUGGAUGUUGCCGCGAUGAAUGUCUUUGCGGCUCGUCUUGAAAUGCAUUAGCUGGUCCGCCGCCAUUCGAUUACAACGGUGUGAUAAGAAUUUCUUUUAACGCUGUUUCAAAUCAAAUGGGGGAGGUCUGCUUCCAAUCGUCCUUAAGGGGACUCACUUUCAUGUCAUCUGACCUCAAAUCAGGUAGGACUACCCGCUGAACUUAAGCAUAUCA
rnacentral:rRNA from 1 species